rnacentral:rRNA from 1 species
UACAGAGGUCUCAAGCGUUGUUCGGAUUCAUUGGGCGUAAAGGGUGUGUAGGUGGCGCCGUAAGUCGGGUGUGAAAUUUCGGAGCUUAACUCCGAAACUGCAUUCGAUACUGCGGUGCUUGAGGACUGGAGAGGAGACUGGAAUUCAUGGUGUAGCAGUGAAAUGCGUAGAGAUCAUGAGGAAGACCAGUGGCGAAGGCGUUCUGCUGGGCCGUUGCUGACGCUGAGGCGCGACAGCGUGGGGAGCAAACAGG